rnacentral:rRNA from 1 species
AUUGAACGCUGGCGGCAUGCUUUACACAUGCAAGUCGAACGGCAGCGCGGGGGCAACCCUGGCGGCGAGUGGCGAACGGGUGAGUAAUACAUCGGAACGUACCCAGAAGUGGGGGAUAACGUAGCGAAAGUUACGCUAAUACCGCAUACGUUCUACGGAAGAAAGUGGGGGAUCGCAAGACCUCAUGCUUUUGGAGCGGCCGAUGUCUGAUUAGCUAGUUGGUGAGGUAAAGGCCCACCAAGGCGACGAUCGGUAACUGGUCUGAGAGGAUGAUCAGUCACACUGGAACUGAGACACGGUCCAGACUCCUACGGGAGGCAGCAGUGGGGAAUAUUGGACAAUGGGGGCAACCCUGAUCCAGCCAUGCCGCGUGUGUGAAGAAGGCCCUCGGGUUGUAAAGCACUUUAAGCGGGGAGGAAGGCCUGAUGGUUAAUACCCAUUGGGAUUGACGUUACCCGCAGAUAAGCACCGGCAAACUUCGUGCCAGCAGCCGCGGUAAGG